GUUAGAUUGCUCAUUUGAAAUUUUUCCUCCUUUUUGGGGUAGAAACUUAUAGCUAUAAAUUUCCCUCUUAGUGCUCCUUUUGCUGUAUUACAUAGGUUUUGGCAUGUUGUGUUUCCAUUAUCAUUUGUUUUAAGAAAUUUUUCAAUUUCCUUCUUAAUGUUUUUCAUUUACCCACUGGUCAUUCAGGAGCAUAUAGUUUAUUUUCCACACAUUCAUAUACUUUGCAAAAUUCCUCUUGUUAUUAAUUUCUAGUUUAAUUCCAUUGUGGUCAGAGAAGAUACUUAAUAUUAUUUCCAUUUCUCUAAAUGUUUUAAGACUUGUUUUGUGACCUAAUGUAUGGUCUAUUUUGGAGAAUAAUCCAUGUGCAGAGGAAAAGAAUGUGUAUUCUGCAGCUCUUAGAUAAAAUGUUCUGUAAAUAUCUAUUAGAUCCAUUUGGUCUAUAGUGCAGACUAAGUCUAAUAUUUCCCUGUUGAUUUUCUGUUGGGAAGAUCUGUCUCAUAAUAAAAGUUGGAUAUUGAAAUCUCAACUAUUAUUGUAUUGGGGCCUCUCUCUUUACCCAUAAGAAUAUUCCCUUUAUAUAUCUGGGUGCUCCAGUGUUGGUUUCUUGCAGGCAACAGAUUAAUGGGUCAUCUUUCUUAAUCCAUUCAGCCAGACUACGUCUUUUGUUUGAAGCAUUUAGUCAAUUUAUAUCUAAAGUUAUUAUUGAUACAUAAGGACUUACUCCUGCCAUUUUAUUAUUUGUUUUCUGGUCACGAUUUCCAUCUUUCUUUUCUUCCUACCUUCCUCUACUGAAGGUGAUUUUCUCUAGUGAUAUAAUUUUUAGAUUCCUGCUUUUUGUCUAUUCAUUGUAUGUUCUUUGGUUUGAGGUCACUAUGAGGCUUGCUAAUACUAUCUUACAAAGUUUUAUUUUAACCUGAUUACAACCUAACACUAUUUGCAUAAAUAGACAAAGAAAAAUAGACUAAUACAAAUGCCACAGCUUAAUUUCACCCCCCAGUUUUUUUUUUUUAACUUUUUGUUGUUUCUAUUUAUAUCCUCUUGUAAUGACUAUGUCUUGAAAAAUUGUUGUAGUUAUUAUUUUUGAUUGGUUCAUUGUUGAGUCUUUCUACUUAGGAUAAGAGUAAUUUACAUACCACAUUUACAGUGUAUAAUAUUUUGUGUUUUUCUGUGUUUUUACACAGAAAACCCAAGAGUUUUAUGCCUUCGGGUGAUUACAUAUUGCUCAUUAUUGUCCUUUUCUUUCUGAUAGACGUAUUUCCUUUAGCAUCCUAGCAUAAUUUCUUUUUCCAUCAGCAUUUUAAAUAUGUCAUACCACUCUCUCCUAGCCUGUAAGGUUUCCACUGAAAAGUCUGAUGCCAGACAUAUUGGAGCUCCAUUGUAUGUUAUUUGUUUCUUUCCCUUGCUGCUUUUAGGAUGCUUUUUUAAUCCUAGACCUUUUGGAGUUUGAUUAGUAAAUACAUUGAGGUAGUCUUCUUUGGGUUAAAUCUGCAUGGGGUUUUAUAACCUUCCUGUACUUGAAUACUGGUAUCUUUAUCUAGGCUUGGGAAGUUUCCUGUUAUUAACUUUUUGAAUAAACUUUCCAUAUCUCUUUCUCUACCUCCUCUUUUAAAGCCAAUAAGUCUUACAUUUGCUGUUUUGUGGAUAUUUUCCAGAUUUUUCAGAUGUGCUUCAUUUUUUAUUAUUUUUUCUUCUCUGAUUGUAUUGUCAAAUAGCCUGUCUUCAGCUCACUAAUUCUUUCUUCUGCUUGAUCAGUUCUGCUAUUAAGAGACUGAUACAUUCUUCAGUGCGUCAAUUGUGUUUUCAACCCUAAAAUUUCUGCUUGUUUCUUAUAAUUAUUUUAAUCUCUGAUAAAUUGAUCUGAUAUAAUUCUGAAUUCCUUCCCUGUGUUAUCUUGAAUUUAUUCAAGUUCCCUCAACAUAGAUAUUAUGAAUUCUCUGUCUGAGAGGUUACAUAUUUCUGUUUCUCUAUGAUUGGUCCCUGGAGACUUAUUUAGUUCAUUUGUUGAGGUCACGUUUUCCUGGAUGGUCUUAAUGCUUGUAGAUGUCUGUUAUGCCUGGACAUUGAAGAGUUAGGUGCUUAUUAUAGUCUUCACUGUGUAAGUUUAUUUGUAGCUGUCCUUCU
rnacentral:lncRNA from 1 species